CGGCGGCGUCCCUCAAAGACACUGAUUAUCGGGCGCCAUUGUUUCCGAGUGCAGUUACAUGCAAAUCCUCGGCCCUCCUGGCCGCACCGCUUUUGUUUUUCAAAUCCGAGCUCGAGAUGCGCGGCAGUUUUGAAAGUGUGAAUUGGCGAUACUGACACGACGAGAAGGUCUCUAUGACUGAGCAUUCCUUGUUCAUUCGGCCAUGGAUAAUCCAGAAGAAGACACAGAAAGGAUUGUCUUCUGUUUCAAGAAGAACAGACCUUGUUCAAUGCCAAAGGGACAUUCUGGGAAAUGUGACAGCAAAAGAAAGACGGAGUCACCGCACCAAUUCUGGCGCAAGAGCCCACGUUGGAGCACAGAUGUAGGAAAAGCAGCUGCAGA